AUUAAGCUCGGCUGACAAUCGAUGGUGGAGGACGGGUGAUGCUAAGGCACCGUUUCCCAGACUCCACUUCACAGAGCACCCGCUGCUGGUCCAGGGAUCUCUCUCCUCCUUUGCAUCUGGCCUGGAGGCCUGUGAAAGCAGCUGGCUUUUCAGGCGGGGCUAGCCUGGCUACCCGGACUGGGAGCCACUUAGCUGCCUUCAGGAGCCAGAGCUGCCACCUCCAGCGCCGCCAGCCCUCGCUGUUUGAUUGCAAGUCUUUUGGUGCUUUUUGUAAAGCCCCAGCUCCUGGAGUCAUGUUAUUUCACAAAACAUCUCAGGUUUCAUUCUAAUAGGUCAGCUAGGCUUCUUGCUGUCUGGUUAAGGAGACAAGCCUGAAAACGUGCCCCAUGUGCCUCCUAAAGGGCCCGACUCGUGGUCACUGAACGUUUGAGGUUGGCGACGCUCCGGUCACUGGUGGGAGAGGAAAGUCCCGGGAAGAAGGGAAUGAAAAGCUGUCCAGGGAUCAAAGGAGGAGAGGAGCAAUCACCUCAGAGGAGUGGGUGGGGCAGAGGAGCAGAGAGCUUCUGGGUAGAACUCAAAACCUGAGCUAGAAGGGAAAAAAGAAAUUUGAUGAACCAAAACAAAAAUUAUGGGCUAGAUUCUCAGCUGGUGUGAAUCAGCAGAGCUCCGGUGCCUACAUGUACAUUAAUAAAGGAG